GACGAACGCUGGCGGCGUGCUUAACACAUGCAAGUCGAACGGAAAGGCCCUGCUUUUGUGGGGUGCUCGAGUGGCGAACGGGUGAGUAACACGUGAGUAACCUGCCCUUGACUUUGGGAUAACUUCAGGAAACUGGGGCUAAUACCGGAUAGGAGCUCCUGCUGCAUGGUGGGGGUUGGAAAGUUUCGGCGGUUGGGGAUGGACUCGCGGCUUAUCAGCUUGUUGGUGGGGUAGUGGCUUACCAAGGCUUUGACGGGUAGCCGGCCUGAGAGGGUGACCGGACACAUUGGGACUGAGAUACGGCCCAGACUCCUACGGGAGGCAGCAGUGGGGAAUAUUGCACAAUGGGCGGAAGCCUGAGGCAGCAACGCCGCGUGCGGGAUGACGGCCUUCGGGUUGUAAACCGCUUUCGCCUGUGACGAAGCGUGAGUGACGGUAAUGGGUAAAGAAGCACCGGCUAACUACGUG
rnacentral:rRNA from 1 species